AGCAGCCGCGGUAAUUCCAGCUCCAAUAGCGUAUAUUAAAGUUGUUGCAGUUAAAAAGCUCGUAGUUGAAUUUUAGGCUUGACCGGGCGGUCCGUCUCUGGCGAGUACUGUCCUGUUGUCGGGUCUAUCCUUCUGGUGAGCCGGUAUGUCCUUAAUUGGGUGUGUCGGGGAACCAGGACCAUUACCUUGAAAAAAUUAGAGUGUUUAAAGCGGGCUUUUGCUUGAAUAGAUUAGCAUGGAAUAAUAGAAUAGGACGUUGGUUCUAUUUUGUUGGUCUAGGACCACCGUAAUGAUUAAUAGGGAUAGUUGGGGGCAUUAGUAUUCAAUUGUCAGAGGUGAAAUUCUUGGAUUUAUUGAAGACUAACCACUGCGAAAGCAUUUGCCAAGGAUGUUUUCAUUUAAUCAAGAACGAAAGUUAGGGGAUCGAAGACGAUCAGAUACCGUCGUAGUCUUAACCAUAAACUAUGCCGACUAGGAAUCGGGCGACGUUAUUUCAUGACUCGCUCGGCGCCUUAUGGGA
rnacentral:rRNA from 1 species